rnacentral:lncRNA from 1 species
UGCUGGGGGUCCUGUGUUUGAAUCCUUAUGUGAACGAGGGUGUUAAUUUUUGCUCGGUUGUCUGAUAGAGUUUCGGUAGAGCUAAAAUUCUAAGGUGGUUGUGAUUUAAUGGGUUAGUGGGAGAAAAAUAGGGGAAAUGUUGUCAUCUCCUUUAUUUUUAUUUUUCUUUUUUAAAUUUUUAAUUAAUUUCUAUCUCUUUCCAAAAACAAU